GUCCUUUUGGUGUAGUUAAGCAUACUUGCCUUCCAAGUAAGAGGUCUUUAAGUAAAGAUGGGAUG
rnacentral:tRNA from 1 species